AGAGAAUGUCCUUCAAACUCCAUUUCUGAUUUCAACCAUAGCAAUUGGCAUUACUUCUAUUUAACCUGUUUCAUGCUAGAGGUGUUUCAUUUGUUGUCUGAAUCUGCAGAUGCCUGUGCAAAAAAUACCUGUGAAAGGAAAUGUUAACUUUUUUUCUUGACAAGCAUUUUCAAACAAGACCAAGUUCUCUUGUGCUACAACAGCUGGAGAAAAUAAAGUAUUUAUGUCCUGGCUUCAUUCAAGUGGAAAUGAAGAUGGAUGGCAGGAAACAUUAGCUAGUCAGCUGAUUCUGCACAUACAGUAUUGAAAACUGUAUCUGGGCCUCUUGUUACACAACACGGGUAUGCUGAGCUUAGAGAAUGGAAGCCUGACAAGCCAACUUUUCAGCAUUAGUUCCCAAAAUGACUAAUAUAAAAUUCUUGCAUAAAGAAGCUUUUUGGAUAUUGAAAUUUUGAUCAAUUCUUAUUUGCUAGCUCUUGUUCUUCUUUCAUUCUGCAAGGUGCAAAAAUAAUUAAGCAACAUUGUAUGAUAUUCAAUAAAUAAAGACCAGAAAUGAUCAAGUCUGUUGUGUAGAAUCCGAAAUGAUAUCUUUGGGCCAUAGAAUAAUUUCAAGGAAGAAAGCUAUUGUCAGACUAGUGCAGAAGGAAAGAAAUAACCCUUGCUUCUAGUGACAAUUCCAGAGCAACUUGUUCGGAGCAGCAAAGGGAUAGGUUGCCAUUUUAUGAAGACAUCAAGGAUUUGAGUGCCUGUUAAAUAUUUAUGCAAAUAUGCUUACAACUAUUUUAUUUUCCAUAAUUAAUGAAAUUGAAUACUGCUCUUGCUCCAGGAAGCAACUUCCUCUACAGUUUUUCAAAUCAAUAAAUCAUAACUUUAAAAAAAAAAUCAGACAAGUUCCUUAACAAGUAAUUUGGAUGUGACUGUGAUGAUGGAUGCUUUAAUAUAAAUUUCUAAGUGAAUACAGAAGUGAAGUAGGGAAUAAUAAUUAUUUGGGAAGAAAUACACUUUAUCCUUUGUUCCUUACAGCAAGCUACACUACAGUUUGGAAGGGCGCAUAAGUUACCAGCUCUUUCUGGAAUACCAGAAGCAACAGCUUAAUGGGCAAGGCAGCAGUCAAAGUGUAUAUGUCAUAUCACACUUGAAGCAGAGAUUAUAAUCCUUUUUUCCCUAAAUUUGGGUUUUUUUGUGGUGAUUAUUUGCUUUAAAAAUACAGCACA
ensembl:lncRNA